rnacentral:rRNA from 1 species
GACGUAGGGCGCGAGCGUUGUCCGGAUUUAUUGGGCGUAAAGAGCUCGUAGGCGGCUCAUUGCGUCAACCGUGAAAACCAGCAGCUCAACUGUUGGCUUGCGGUUGAUACGGGUGGGCUGGAGUUCGGUAGGGGAGACUGGAAUUCCUGGUGUAGCGGUGAAAUGCGCAGAUAUCAGGAGGAACACCGGUGGCGAAGGCGGGUCUCUGGGCCGAUACUGACGCUGAGGCGCGAAAGCGUGGGGAGCAAACAGG